UGACUCCUAGGAAGCUGCCAUCUGACCCAGGAUUGUCUGCACUGACUGGCAAAGGCUGCCUGAAAUAAAGGGCAAAUGCUCGCUCACGGGGCGGAUGUGGAUUGAGCGAUCAGGUGUGGAUUAGGCAAUCAGGUGCUGUUGGUUUUUCCCACUGAUAACCUGCUUUUACUCCAAGAAGCUCAGAGGACUGCAUGGUUAUGUUUAUCCUUGUAACAACCACGUGAGAGAGGUUAGGCUGAGAGAUAAGUGGCUGACACAGAGUCACCUGACACACACAUUUGUAAAGUUGUGGUAGAGAUGCAUAUGAUAGAGCUACGUUGACAAAGAUGAAGGGAAAGCUGCAUUUAUUCUGAUGGCAGAAUCUCAUCACGACCAUAUUUAGUGAGCAGGUUGGAGAGAUGUGUGCACGAAAACUUCAGAAUGAAUGUGGACUAAUAAAGAGCUGGCUCAAAGACACAAUAUAGAACUAAGCAUUCUCCGAA